GAGUGGCGAACGGGUGAGUAACACGUGGGAAACCUACCUCUUAGCAGGGGAUAACAUUUGGAAACAGAUGCUAAUACCGUAUAACAAUGACAACCGCAUGGUUGUUAUUUAAAAGAUGGUUCUGCUAUCACUAAGAGAUGGUCCCGCGGUGCAUUAGCUGGUUGGUAAGGUAAUGGCUUACCAAGGCGAUGAUGCAUAGCCGAGUUGAGAGACUGAUCGGCCACAAUGGGACUGAGACACGGCCCAUACUCCUACGGGAGGCAGCAGUAGGGAAUCUUCCACAAUGGGCGAAAGCCUGAUGGAGCAACGCCGCGUGUGUGAUGAAGGGUUUCGGCUCGUAAAACACUGUUGUAAGAGAAGAAUGACAUUGAGAGUAACUGUUCAAUGUGUGACGGUAUCUUACCAGAAAGGAACGGCUAAAUACGUGCCAGCAGCCGCGGUAAUACGUAUGUUCCAAGCGUUAUCCGGAUUUAUUGGGCGUAAAGCGAGCGCAGACGGUUAUUUAAGUCUGAAGUGAAAGCCCUCAGCUCAACUGAGGAAUUGCUUUGGAAACUGGAUGACUUGAGUGCAGUAGAGGAAAGUGGAACUCCAUGUGUAGCGGUGAAAUGCGUAGAUAUAUGGAAGAACACCAGUGGCGAAGGCGGCUUUCUGGACUGUAACUGACGUUGAGGCUCGAAAGUGUGGGUAGCAAACAGGAUUAGAUACCCUGGUAGUCCACACCGUAAACGAUGAGUGCUAGGUGUUUGAGGGUUUCCGCCCUUAAGUGCCGCAGCUAACGCAUUAAGCACUCCGCCUGGGGAGUACGACCGCAAGGUUGAAACUCAAAGGAAUUGACGGGGACCCGCACAAGCGGUGGAGCAUGUGGUUUAAUUCGAAGCAACGCGAAGAACCUUACCAGGUCUUGACAUCCCUUGACAACUCCAGAGAUGGAGCGUUCCCUUCGGGGACAAGGUGACAGGUGGUGCAUGGUUGUCGUCAGCUCGUGUCGUGAGAUGUUGGGUUAAGUCCCGCAACGAGCGCAACCCUUAUUACUAGUUGCCAGCAUUCAGUUGGGCACUCUAGUGAGACUGCCGGUGACAAACCGGAGGAAGGUGGGGAUGACGUCAAAUCAUCAUGCCCCUUAUGACCUGGGCUACACACGUGCUACAAUGGCGUAUACAACGAGUUGCCAACCCGCGAGGGUGAGCUAAUCUCUUAAAGUACGUCUCAGUUCGGAUUGUAGGCUGCAACUCGCCUACAUGAAGUCGGAAUCGCUAGUAAUCGCGGAUCAGCACGCCGCGGUGAAUACGUUCCCGGGUCUUGUACACACCGCCCGUCACACCAUGAGAGUUUGUAACACCCAAAGCCGGUGGGGUAACCUUCGGGAGCCAGCCGUCUAAGGU
rnacentral:rRNA from 1 species